GCCCUCGUAGCUCAGUGGUAGAGCACGUCCUUGGUAAGGACGAGGCCACGCGUUCAAUCCGCGUCGAGGGCUCCA
rnacentral:tRNA from 1 species